rnacentral:rRNA from 1 species
UACGAAGGGGGCUAGCGUUGCUCGGAAUCACUGGGCGUAAAGCGCACGUAGGCGGCUUGUUAAGUCAGGGGUGAAAUCCUGGAGCUCAACUCCAGAACUGCCUUUGAUACUGGCGAGCUUGAGUUCGGGAGAGGUGAGUGGAACUGCGAGUGUAGAGGUGAAAAUUCGUAGAUAUUCGCAAGAACACCAGUGGCGAAGGCGGCUUACUGGUCCGGUUCUGACGCUGAGGCGCGAAAGCGUGGGAGCAAACAGGAUAGAU